rnacentral:rRNA from 1 species
AUACGUAGGGUGCAAGCGUUAAUCGGAAUUACUGGGCGUAAAGCGUGCGCAGGCGGUUUUGUAAGACAGUGGUGAAAUCCCCGGGCUCAACCUGGGAACUGCCAUUGUGACUGCAAGGCUGGAGUGCGGCAGAGGGGGGUGGAAUUCCGCGUGUAGCAGUGAAAUGCGUAGAUAUGCGGAGGAACACCGACGGCGAAGGCAAUCCCCUGGGCCUGCACUGACGCUCAUGCACGAAAGCGUGGGGAGCAAACAGGAUUAGAUACCCUGGUAGUCCACGCCCUAAACGAUGUCAACUGGUUGUUGGGGAUUUAUUUUCUCAGUAACGAAGCUAACGCGUGAAGUUGACCGCCUGGGGAGUACGGCCGCAAGGUUAAAACUCAAAUGAAUUGACGGGG